GGGUUGUGAGGUUAAGCGACUAAGCGUACACGGUGGAUGCCCUGGCAGUCAGAGGCGAUGAAGGACGUGCUAAUCUGCGAAAAGCGUCGGUAAGGUGAUAUGAACCGUUACAGCCGGCGAUGUCCGAAUGGGGAAACCCAGUGUGAUUCGUCACACUAUCGUUAACUGAAUACAUAGGUUAACGAGGCGAACCGGGGGAACUGAAACAUCUAAGUACCCCGAGGAAAAGAAAUCAACCGAGAUUCCCCCAGUAGCGGCGAGCGAACGGGGAGCAGCCCAGAGUCUGAAUCAGCUUGUGUGUUAGUGGAACGGUCUGGAAAGUCCGACGGUACAGGGUGAUAGUCCCGUACACCAAAAUGCACAGGCUGUGAACUCGAAGAGUAGGGCGGGACACGUGGUAUCCUGUCUGAAUAUGGGGGGACCAUCCUCCAAGGCUAAAUACUCCUGACUGACCGAUAGUGAACCAGUACCGUGAGGGAAAGGCGAAAAGAACCCCGGCGAGGGGAGUGAAAAAGAACCUGAAACCGUGUACGUACAAGCAGUGGGAGCACCUUCGGGUGUGACUGCGUACCUUUUGUAUAAUGGGUCAGCGACUUAUAUUCUGUAGCAAGGUUAACCGUAUAGGGGAGCCGCAGGGAAACCGAGUCUUAACUGGGCGUUAAGUUGCAGGGUAUAGACCCGAAACCCGGUGAUCUAGCCAUGGGCAGGUUGAAGGUUGGGUAACACUAACUGGAGGACCGAACCGACUAAUGUUGAAAAAUUAGCGGAUGACUUGUGGCUGGGGGUGAAAGGCCAAUCAAACCGGGAGAUAGCUGGUUCUCCCCGAAAGCUAUUUAGGUAGCGCCUCGUGAAUUCAUCUUCGGGGGUAGAGCACUGUUUCGGCUAGGGGGUCAUCCCGACUUACCAACCCGAUGCAAACUACGAAUACCGAAGAAUGUUAUCACGGGAGACACACGGCGGGUGCUAACGUCCGUCGUGAAGAGGGAAACAACCCAGACCGCCAGCUAAGGUCCCAAAGUCACAGUUAAGUGGGAAACGAUGUGGGAAGGCACAGACAGCCAGGAUGUUGGCUUAGAAGCAGCCAUCAUUUAAAGAAAGCGUAAUAGCUCACUGGUCGAGUCGGCCUGCGCGGAAGAUGUAACGGGGCUAAACUGUGCACCGAAGCUGCGGCAGCGACACUAUGUGUUGUUGGGUAGGGGAGCGUUCUGUAAGCCUGCGAAGGUGGCCUGUGAGGGUUGCUGGAGGUAUCAGAAGUGCGAAUGCUGACAUAAGUAACGAUAAUGCGGGUGAAAAGCCCGCACGCCGGAAGACCAAGGGUUCCUGUCCAACGUUAAUCGGGGCAGGGUGAGUCGACCCCUAAGGCGAGGCCGAAAGGCGUAGUCGAUGGGAAACAGGUUAAUAUUCCUGUACUUGGUGUUACUGCGAAGGGGGGACGGAGAAGGCUAUGUUAGCCGGGCGACGGUUGUCCCGGUUUAAGCAUGUAGGCGGAGGUUCCAGGUAAAUCCGGUACCUUUUUAACGCUGAGGUGUGAUGACGAGGCACUACGGUGCUGAAGUAACAAAUGCCCUGCUUCCAGGAAAAGCCUCUAAGCAUCAGGUAACAUUGAAUCGUACCCCAAACCGACACAGGUGGUCAGGUAGAGAAUACCAAGGCGCUUGAGAGAACUCGGGUGAAGGAACUAGGCAAAAUGGUGCCGUAACUUCGGGAGAAGGCACGCUGAUAUGUAGGUGAAGCCCCUGCGGGUGGAGCUGAAAUCAGUCGAAGAUACCAGCUGGCUGCAACUGUUUAUUAAAAACACAGCACUGUGCAAACACGAAAGUGGACGUAUACGGUGUGACGCCUGCCCGGUGCCGGAAGGUUAAUUGAUGGGGUUAUCCGUAAGGAGAAGCUCUUGAUCGAAGCCCCGGUAAACGGCGGCCGUAACUAUAACGGUCCUAAGGUAGCGAAAUUCCUUGUCGGGUAAGUUCCGACCUGCACGAAUGGCGUAAUGAUGGCCAGGCUGUCUCCACCCGAGACUCAGUGAAAUUGAACUCGCUGUGAAGAUGCAGUGUACCCGCGGCAAGACGGAAAGACCCCGUGAACCUUUACUAUAGCUUGACACUGAACAUUGAGCCUUGAUGUGUAGGAUAGGUGGGAGGCUUUGAAGCGUGGACGCCAGUCUGCGUGGAGCCAACCUUGAAAUACCACCCUUUAAUGUUUGAUGUUCUAACGUUGGCCCCUUAUCGGGGUUGCGGACAGUGUCUGGUGGGUAGUUUGACUGGGGCGGUCUCCUCCCAAAGAGUAACGGAGGAGCACGAAGGUUAGCUAAUCCUGGUCGGACAUCAGGAGGUUAGUGCAAUGGCAUAAGCUAGCUUGACUGCGAGCGUGACGGCGCGAGCAGGUGCGAAAGCAGGUCAUAGUGAUCCGGUGGUUCUGAAUGGAAGGGCCAUCGCUCAACGGAUAAAAGGUACUCCGGGGAUAACAGGCUGAUACCGCCCAAGAGUUCAUAUCGACGGCGGUGUUUGGCACCUCGAUGUCGGCUCAUCACAUCCUGGGGCUGAAGUAGGUCCCAAGGGUAUGGCUGUUCGCCAUUUAAAGUGGUACGCGAGCUGGGUUUAGAACGUCGUGAGACAGUUCGGUCCCUAUCUGCCGUGGGCGCUGGAGAAUUGAGGGGGGCUGCUCCUAGUACGAGAGGACCGGAGUGGACGCAUCACUGGUGUUCGGGUUGUCAUGCCAAUGGCAUUGCCCGGUAGCUAAAUGCGGAAGAGAUAAGUGCUGAAAGCAUCUAAGCACGAAACUUGCCCCGAGAUGAGUUCUCCCUGACUCCUUGAGAGUCCUGAAGGAACGUUAAAGACGAUGACGUUGAUAGGUCGGGUGUGUAAGCGUAGCGAUACGUUGAGCUAACCGAUACUAAUGAACCGUGAGGCUUAACCUUACAACGCCGAAGGUGUUU
rnacentral:rRNA from 1 species